rnacentral:misc_RNA from 1 species
GAUGAAGAACGUAGCGAAAUGCGAUAAGUAAUGUGAAUUGCAGAAUUCAGUGAAUCAUCGAAUCUUUGAACGCACAUUGCGCCCGCCAGUAUUCUGGCGGACAUGCCUGUCUGAGCGUCAUUUCAACCCUCAUGCCCCUAGGGCGUGGUGUUGGGGAUCGGCCAAAGCCCGCGAGGGACGGCCGGCCCCUAAAUCUAGUGGCGGACCCGUCGUGGCCUCCUCUGCGAAGUAGUGAUAUUCCGCAUCGGAGAGCGACGAGCCCCUGCCGUUAAACCCCCAACUUUCCAAGGUUGACCUCAGAUCAGGUAGGAAUACCCGCUGAACUUAAGCAUAUCAAUAAGCGGAGGA